CACGUAGGGGGCGAGCGUUGUCCGGAUGUAUUGGGCGUAAAGAGCUCGUAGGCGGCUCGGAAAGUCGGUCGUGAAAUGCCGGGGCUCAACCCCGGGACUGCGUCCGAUACUCUCGAGCUGGAGGCAGGUAGGGGAGAUCGGAAUUCCUGGUGUAGCGGUGAAAUGCGCAGAUAUCAGGAGGAACACCGGUGGCGAAGGCGGAUCUCUGGGCCUUGCCUGACGCUGAGGCGCGAAAGCUAGGGGAGCAAACAGG
rnacentral:rRNA from 1 species